AAACUUUCAACAACGGAUCUCUUGGUUCCAGCAUCGAUGAAGAACGCAGCGAAAUGCGAUAGCUAGUGUGAAUUGCAGAUUUCCGUGAAUCAUCGAGUCUUUGAACGCACAUUGCGCCCUUUGGUAUUCCGAAGGGCAUGCCUAUUCGAGCGUCGUUG
rnacentral:rRNA from 1 species